ACUCAAAUGAAUUGACGGGGACCCACACAAGCAGUGGAUCAUGUGGUUUAAUUCGACAAUAAACGGGGAACCUUACCCAGGCUUGACAUCCUACGAAUCCGGUGGAAACAUCGGAGUGCCCGCAAGGGAAUGUAGAGACAGGCGCUGCAUGGUUGUCGUCAGCUCGUGCCUUGAGGUGUUCGGUUAAGUCCGUUAACGAGCGCAACCCACGUCAUUAGUUACUAUGUCUAAUGAGACUGCUCUAGUUAAUAGAGAGGAAGGUGUGGAUGACGUCAAAUCAGCAUGGCCCUUAUGCCUGGGGCUACACACAUGAUACAAUGGUCGGUACAAAGAGUUGCAACACCGCGAGGUGAAGCGAAUCUCAUAAAGCCGAUCUCAGUCCAGAUUGGAGGCUGCAACUCGCCUCCAUGAAGUUGGAAUUGCUAGUAAUCGUGAAUCAGAUAUGUCACGGUGAAUAUGUUCCUGGGUCUUGCACACACCGCCCGU
rnacentral:rRNA from 1 species